GGGGAUGAUCUGGAUUCGACGUUGAUUACAAAGCUAUGGGUGCAUGCCGAGAGCCGUACGAUGAUCUCGUAAAUAAACGUUGUACAUUUAAACUAGUCGCAAACGACGAAACUUACGCACUGGCGGCUUAAGCCCGCCUACCUCUGAACCCGGGUUCCUGUAACCGGGGGACGAGGGCGCAGCCCUACAGGAUCGACCGGCGGCUUCGCUCGGAGGCAAUGGUCUAAAACUAAUCGAGCUCGUUCCGAACGGCCUGUCUCUCGGCCCGUGACGAACUAAAUGAAUAGAGAAGACUAAGCAUGUAGAUCCUCUAGUGGAGGAUUGGCGGACGCGGGUUCAAAUCCCGCCAUCUCCACCA
rnacentral:tmRNA from 2 species